rnacentral:rRNA from 1 species
UACGUAGGGGCUAGCGUUGUCCGGAUUUAUUGGGCGUAAAGAGCGUGUAGGCGGCCAGGUAGGUCUGGCUGUGAAAACUCGAGGCUUAACCUCGAGAUGUCAUCGGAAACCAUUCUGGCUAGAGUCCGGAAGAGGAGAGUGGAAUUCCUGGUGUAGCGGUGAAAUGCGCAGAUAUCAGGAAGAACACCAAUGGCGAAGGCAGCUCUCUGGGACGGUACUGACGCUGAGACGCGAAAGCGUGGGGGAGCGAAACAGG